UGUCGGUUAUGUUAAUUUUUGUUGCUUAUGUAUAUAUGAUUUUGAAAACAAUUUUGAUGAUUUAGUGCAUGUCAGAGACAUUCCUUUAUAUACUGUAAAUUAUUUGUUUCUUACUUCUUUCCUUCUUUAUUAUUAUUAUUAUUAUUAUUUAUAGGACUUUCUAUUAACAGAACAUAAAGCAAGUGUGUGUGUGUGUGUACGGAGCUUGAAACUCCCAUGAGUGGUUUGUUUUAAAAUUAAAUAUCACAGUUCCAUAUUUUUUUGUUUUUGUUUGAAUUUUGUAGGAUUUUCAUGCGGUGGGACAUCAGGACUGUUGAUCACACCAGAUAUUAUGAUAAACCAACAUUUUUGGCCUUGUGAGGAACCUAUCAGCUCAAUCAGAAAGUUGAGUAGCAGCAUACGAGUUUCCUGAAGUCCUGAAGUGGUGGGACUUCUUGACUGCCCGGUGCUGAAUGCUGCUCCGCUUGACUGCCCAGUGAUGUGCUGCACAUCUUUCAUCAAGUUUCCUUCCUUUUCUCAUAUGAAGAUUGCCAUCCAAGCUCAGAGCAGAAUGAUGGUCUACUUGUUAUUCUCUUUCUCUAUUUUUGUAUUUGGCUCAGGAAUAGAGAGCGAGAGUGGUGGGACUUCUCUGAUGAGAACCAGCAAAUUGUGGUAACCAUUCUUAGUGCAGUGGUAAAAACUCCUGCCUGCCAAGCACGAGGGCAUGUCGCGAACCAGGAAACCUACAAAUUAUGUAAGCCAUUAAGCCGAGCAUUUGGGGAAUUGAUUUUUAUUUUUCAGUGAAGUCUAUAUUGUGUUUGGUUUAUAUUUGGGUAAACUAGGGCAAUGCUUGCAAGGUCUUUAAUAAAGUUCUGAUGGAAAAUUUGGACCAUUGGUGAAGGUGGUGUUAUAUGGUAUUGGUUAGAAUUUAAUUUCGAAAGUUAGCUAUUAAA